GACGAACGCUGGCGGCGUGCUUAACACAUGCAAGUCGAACGGAAAGGCCCUGCUUUUGUGGGGUUCUCGAGUGGCGAACGGGUGAGUAACACGUGAGUAACCUGCCCUUGACUUUGGGAUAACUUCAGGAAACUGGGGCUAAUACCGGAUAGGAGCUCCUGCUGCAUGGUGGGGGUUGGAAAGUUUCGGCGGUUGGGGAUGGACUCGCGGCUUAUCAGCUUGUUGGUGGGGUAGUGGCUUACCAAGGCUUUGACGGGUAGCCGGCCUGAGAGGGUGACCGGCCACAUUGGGACUGAGAUACGGCCCAGACUCCUACGGGAGGCAGCAGUGGGGAAUAUUGCACAAUGGGCGGAAGCCUGAUGCAGCAACGCCGCGUGCGGGAUGACGGCCUUCGGGUUGUAAACCGCUUUCGCCUGUGACGAAGCGUGAGUGACGGUAAUGGGUAAAGAAGCACCGGCUAACUACGUG
rnacentral:rRNA from 1 species